CAGCGCCACGAGUGGUCGGGACGAUUAUUGGGCCUAAAGCAUCCGUAGCUGGUUCUACAAGUCUUCCGUUAAAUCCACCUGCUUAACAGAUGGGCCGCGGAGGAUACUAUAAGACUAGGAGGCAGGAGAGGCAAGCGGUACUCAGUGGGUAAGGGUAAAAUCCGUUGAUCCAUUGAAGACCACCAGUGGCGAAGGCGGCUUGCCAGAAUGCGCUCGACGGUGAGGGAUGAAAGCUGGGGGAGCAAACCGGAUUAGAUACCCGAGUAGUCC
rnacentral:rRNA from 1 species